UACGAAGGGGGCUAGCGUUGUUCGGAAUUACUGGGCGUAAAGGGCGCGUAGGCGGUCCUGAUCGUCGGAUGUGAAAGGCCUGGGCUCAACCUGGGAAUGGCAUCCGAUACGGCGGGACUGGAGUGUGGGAGAGGUUGGUGGAAUUCCCAGUGUAGAGGUGAAAUUCGUAGAUAUUAGGAAGAACACCGGUGGCGAAGGCGGCCCACUGGCUCGAUACUGACGCUGAGGUGCGAAAGCGUGGGGAGCAAACAGG
rnacentral:rRNA from 1 species